UAGCAUAUCAAUUAAGCGGAGGGAAAAGAAACUAACAAGGAUUCCCCUAGUAACUGCGAGUGAAGCGGGAAAAGCUCAAAUUUAAAAUCUGGCGUCCUUUGGUCGUCCGAGUUGUAAUCUAGAGAAGUGUUUUCUGUGCUGGACCGUGUACAAGUUUCUUGGAACAGAACAUCAUAGAGGGUGAGAAUCCCGUCUUUGACACGGACUGCCAGUGCUCUGUGAUGCACUCUCGAAGAGUCGCGUUGUUUGGGAAUGCAGCGCAAAAUGGGUGGUGAAUUCCAUCUAAAGCUAAAUAUUGGCGAGAGACCGAUAGCGAACAAGUACCGUGAGGGAAAGAUGAAAAGCACUUUGGAAAGAGAGUUAAACAGUACGUGAAAUUGUUGAAAGGGAAACGCUUGAAGUCAGUCGCGUCUUGCGGAACUCAGCCUUGCUUCUCUGCUCGGUGUAUUUUCCGUUCGACGGGCCAGCAUCGAUUUCGACCGUCGGAUAAAGUGUGAGGGAAUGUGGCAUCUUCGGAUGUGUUAUAGCCCUCGCUCGCAUACGACGGUCGGGAUCGAGGACCGCAGCACGCCUUUUUGGCCGGGGUUCGCCCACGUACGUGCUUAGGAUGCUGGCGUAAUGGCUUUAAACGACCCGUCUUGAAACACGGACCAAGGAGUCUAACAUGCCUGCGAGUGUUUGGGUGGAAAACCCAUGCGCGCAAUGAAAGUGAAAGUUGGGACCUCUGUCGUGGAGGGCACCGACGCCCGGUCUUGAGCCUCGGCGACGGAUCCGCGGUGGAGCAUGUAUGUUGGGACCCGAAAGAUGGUGAACUAUGCCUGAAUAGGGUGAAGCCAGAGGAAGACUCUGGUGGAGGCUCGUAGCGAUUCUGACGUGCAAAUCGAUCGUCAAAUUUGGGUAUAGGGGCGAAAGACUAAUCGA
rnacentral:rRNA from 1 species